CACUGCAGAAAAUCAACUUCAAAGAGGACCAUUGAUUUCACGAAAGACACCGUUGACAAAAACAAAAGUACUGAAGAACAAGAUGUAUUUGAUGUCAAACGUAACAGACAAGACAAACAACUCCAAUCUACAAAGGGAAACUCUGAUUUUCCAAACUCCUCCAGUAACGAAACCAGCAGUACCAAACAACUUGAUCAGGCUGUACUCAAUCAUCGCGAAAAGAGCCAAAAAAAUCAUGUUGCACUACAACCAGGCUCGCUGGACAAAUCUACAUAAUAAGAAUGGUUGACACAUGCUGUCCGGCAUACAGGGACUCCAAUAACAUUAUGGUGCCACUGAGACAUCAAAUGCGGAAGACUUACUACUAUUUCCCUGUGCAUCCAUUUUGUUCUUUAUCAAACAAUUAUACCAUACUAUCUGGUACAAUGAAUAAUAGCAUUGUUAAUAUUUAAAAUACAAGCAAAGGAGUUUCCAUGUUCUCUAU